rnacentral:rRNA from 1 species
ACGCUCGACACCUACGGGAGGCAGCAGUGGGGAAUAUUGCACAAUGGGGGAAACCCUGAUGCAGCGACGCCGCGUGAAGGAAGAAGUAUCUCGGUAUGUAAACUUCUAUCAGCAGGGAAGAAAGUGACGGUACCUGACUAAGAAGCCCCGGCUAACUACGUGCCAACAGCCGCGGUAAUCUGAGCGGGCUGGCAAGGC